rnacentral:misc_RNA from 1 species
UAUAGACCCCUUUCCCAUUCACAACUCAACACUUACAAGGCAACGCACCAAAUCCACACAAACGAAUAAUAUCCAAUUCUCUCUAGAGGUUUCAUCAUGAAAGGAGCUAAAUCAAAGGCUAAAGCUGAUACCAAGCUUGGUGUAAGGAAGAAGGCUACUGAGAGUAAGAAGGCGAAGAACGCUGCUAAGGAUCCAAACAAGCCUAAGAGGCCUCCAAGUGCCUUCUUCGUUUUCAUGGAGGAGUUUAGGAAGACCUACAAGGAGAAGCACCCAAACAACAAAUCUGUUGCUGUUGUUGGCAAAGCUGGUGGAGACAAGUGGAAACAGUUGUCAGAUGAAGAGAAAGCUCCUUACCAAGCCAAGGCUGAGAAGAGGAAGGCUGAGUACCAAAAGAGCAUGGAUGCAUAUAACAAGAAACUGGCUGCUGGUGAUGCUGAUGAUGAGUCUGACAAGUCCAAGUCUGAGGUACAUGAUGAUGAUGAGGACGAUGAUGGAAGUGAAGAGGAGGAUGAUGAUUAAACAAUCAGUAGGCUGUUGAAAUUCAGAGAAUGAUGGAUAAGUUCAUGUAGGAAUUGCUCAGUCCUUCCUUGAUAAAUAGAUGCCCUCUUUUUUUACAUUUUUUGUCUAGUUUUUGUUCUUUGAGGGUUUAGUUUGGACAGAAAGGUGAAAUUCAGAUGACUUGCCUUGAAAGCUCAAGUAGUUUAUGUAAUUUCUCUAUUUUGCUGAUGUUAAUGAAAAUUUAGCUUGG